rnacentral:rRNA from 1 species
UAUUGGACAAUGGGCGAAAGCCUGAUCCAGCCAUGCCGCGUGUGUGAAGAAGGUCUUCGGAUUGUAAAGCACUUUAAGUUGGGAGGAAGGGCAUUAACCUAAUACGUUAGUGUUUUGACGUUACCGACAGAAUAAGCACCGGCUAACUCUGUGCCAGCAGCCGCGGUAAUACAGAGGGUGCAAGCGUUAAUCGGAAUUACUGGGCGAAAGCGCGCGUAGGUGGUUUGUAAGUUGGAUGUAAAUCCCCGGGCUCAACCUGGAACUGCAUUCAAAACUACUACAGAGAUGGAAGGGUGGUGAAUUUCCUGUGAGCGGUAAAUGGAAAUGAAGGACACCAGUGGAAGGGCACCUGGCAAUCUGACUGGUGAAACG